AAUAGAAGAAUAACAAACCAGAUUUUUCUUCCUGGUUUUGAGUUUUUUUCUCAUGAAAAAUUCAAAUUCAACUAAAAAGUGCUAAAAAUCAGGAAGUUAAAUCUUAUUUGUCAUUCUUCUAUU
rnacentral:pre_miRNA from 1 species